rnacentral:lncRNA from 1 species
AAAAAUAUAACCUGACACAACUGUCAUUUCUAUCUACCUAAAAAUUGAAAUUAAUAUUCCAUAGGUUUUAAGUCAAACUCUCCAUAAACAAGCCAUUGAUCCUUAGUAUUUCAUAAAUACUUAAGGAUAGUUCUAAUAACCUUCCAAAUCUUUAUGAAGAACAGAGAUGACAACCAAGCUUUUAUUCCCUAUAAUGUAGGGAUGUCAUUCUCAAUUAAGAGA